GCAUGCAGGUGGUUUGUUAAGUCAGAUGUGAAAGCCCUGGGCUCAACCUAGGAAUCGCAUUUGAAACUGACAAGCUAGAGUACUGUAGAGGGGGGUAGAAUUUCAGGUGUAGCGGUGAAAUGCGUAGAGAUUUGAAGGAAUACCGGUGGCGAAGGCGGCCCCCUGGACAGAUACUGACACUCAGAUGCGAAAGCGUGGGGAGCAAACAGGAUUAGAUACCCUGGUAGUCCACGCUGUAAACGAUGUCUACUUGGAGGUUGUGCCCUAGAGGCGUGGCUUUCGGAGCUAACGCGUUAAGUAGACCGCCUGGGGAGUACGGUCGCAAGAUUAAAACUCAAAUGAAUUGACGGGGGCCCGCACAAGCGGUGGAGCAUGUGGUUUAAUUCGAUGCAACGCGAAGAACCUUACCUACUCUUGACAUCCAGAGAAUCUAGCGGAGACGCUGGAGUGCCUUCGGG
rnacentral:rRNA from 1 species